ensembl:snRNA U6 U6 spliceosomal RNA
GUGCUUGCUUCUGCAGCACAUAUACUAAAAUUGGAACGAUGCAAAGAUUAACAUGUUCCCUGCACAAGGAUGACGUGCAAAUUCUUGAAGUGUUCCAUAUUUUU